CUAGCUCUUGAAGUUAAGAGUCCAAGCUUAGUAAGUAUUUAUAAUCCAAGAAGGUCAGGGUAAUAAGUAUGCCAAAAUAUUUUCCUUUAUUGCCAGCUAUUCUCCCAAGCUAGGAAUCACCAAGCAGGCAGGAGGCAAAUUAUAGUGCUAUGCACAAAUCCACCACUAGAUGUCAUUCAAGGUCCAUUUCUCACUCUUAAAACAAACGAUUUAUUUCUUAUAUUUCACCUCAAUGUGUUUUUUUUUUCAAAGAGAAAAUCUUAACAAUUAUCUCAGUUCUCAAAUUUAUUAAAACUAGUGUUAUAUUACUUCCACUUCAAUAUUAUAUGCUUCUGUCCCCCAUGGAGGUUUUUAGCUUCUUGGGAACCUUUCUCAGGAAAUUCAGUUGUAAAAUAGUAAAGAAAGGAUCAAUAUUCUCACCCAGUUCCAAACAUGCUGUUUACGAUGUAUUAAGUAGUGCUUUUUUCUUUGGUUCUCAGCAGAUAAUGGCCAGCCACAGGAAUAUAGCCGGUCUUUCCCCUGCCAAUUUGGAGGGUUUCCCUUGUAUCGAAUGGAUUUUAGGGCCCCCAGUAGGGCGAAAUCAGGCGCAGAAGGCAGGGCUCUGCCUUCUUGCGUCCUGUCUCGCUGCGACGCAAAUCGGAAGUCUACCUGCUUUAAUCUUUUGAUAAGCAGUGUUGCCCUAACAUGUUUUGCAAAGUAUUUCUAGGAUACCGAGUCACUAAACUCAUUUGUCCACUGUUCAUUUCAUUAUCUCCAUUAUCUUCAGUUAACGAAAAUAAUGUUUAUCAAAGGUUUGAAUUAAUUCAGUUGUAUCCAAAUGAAAUAAAGCAGUAGUUUUACUAGUUGGAGGCUGUUUUUUGCAGAACAAAUCCUCAUAACAUAAUUGGGGGAAAACUUUGCAUUUCUCCUUCAGUGGACAGUGUGGUAAUCUAAUAUUUUUAGUCGCUAUUGAAGUGAAAAAAUGAAGACUUUAUAGCUGCAAACACCGCAGUGUGAUUGCAUACUUGUUAUUUUUGUUCAGUUGAAUGGUGCCUAGUGAAUUAGGUGACUUUUACACCUUUUAUGGAGAAUAUUUUGGUGAAGUUUUAAAGUGUUGUACCAUUCUGCAUAUUUGUGUAGUUGGUGCUUUGUUCAGAAUUGUGUUUUGAGAAGAGUAUGUCUUUCGCAUGUGUUUAGUCUGAAUUUUGCAGAAGGAUUUCUGUUAUCUAAAUUCUUCAAUUUUUUCAGUUUCUAGGGUAUUUUGAAGAUCAAAACCUGUGUAAUAUGCAUUGAAAUGGUGGCAUAAUAAACAUUUUUUACUUAC